ensembl:lncRNA
GCCCCUUGAAUUGAAUUGAAUUGAAAGAGAGUGGGAGACAGAGAGAGAGCGAGACAGAGAGAGAGCGAGACAGAGAGAGAGCGAGAGAGAGAGAGAGCGAGACAGAGAGAGUACGAGACAGAGGGAGUGCGAGACAGAGAGAGUACGAGACAGAGAGAGAGCGAGAGAGCGAGACAGAGAGAGUACGAGACAGAGGGAGUGCGAGACAGAGAGAGUGCGAGACAGAGAGAUAGCGAGACAGAGGGAGUGCGAGACAGAGGGAGUGCGAGACAGAGAGAGAG